rnacentral:rRNA from 1 species
UACGGGGGGGGCAAACGUUGCUCGGAAUCAUUGGGCGUAAAGCGCACGUAGGCGGUCUGUUAUGUCGGAUGUGAAAGCCCUUGGCUUAACUGAGGAAGUGCAUCCGAAACUGGCAGGCUAGAGUACUAAAGAGGGUCGCGGAAUUCCCGGUGUAGUGGUGAAAUGCGUAGAUAUCGGGAGGAAUACCAGUGGCGCAAGCGGCGCCCUGGCCGUGACCUGACACUGAGCCACGACGGCGUGGGGAGCGAACAGG